GUUAGGAAUAUUGGACAAUGGGCGAAAGCCUGAUCCAGCCAUGCCGCGUGAACGAUGAAGGCCUUCGGGUUGUAAAGUUCUUUAGCCGAUGAUUAUAAUGACUGUAGUCGGAAAAUAAGCCCCGGCUAACUUCGUGCCAGCAGCCGCGGUAAUACGAAGGGGGCGAGCGUUAUUCGGAAUCACUGGGCGUAAAGCGUGCGUAGGCGGUUUUGUAAGUUAGGAGUGAAAGCCCAGGGCUCAACCUUGGAAUUGCUCUUAAAACUGCAAGGCUCGAAGCUCGGAGAGGAUAGCGGAAUUUCCAGUGUAGCAGUGAAAUGCGUAGAUAUUGGAAGGAACACCAGUGGCGUAAGCGGCUAUCUGGACGAGUAUUGACGCUGAGGCACGACAGCGUGGGGAUCAAACAGGAUUAGAUACCCCAGUAGUCC
rnacentral:rRNA from 1 species